CGCGGUAAAACCAGCACCUCAAGUGGUCAGGAUGAUUAUUGGGCCUAAAGCAUCCGUAGCCGGCUCUGUAAGUUUUCGGUUAAAUCCGUACGCUCAACGUAUAGGCUGCCGGGAAUACUGCAGAGCUAGGGAGUGGGAGAGGUAGACGGUACUCGGUAGGAAGGGGUAAAAUCCUUUGAUCUAUUGAUGACCACCUGUGGCGAAGGCGGUCUACCAGAACACGUCCGACGGUGAGGGAUGAAAGCUGGGGGAGCAAACCGGAUUAGAUACCCGGGUAGUCCCAGCUGUAAACUAUGCAAACUCAGUGAUGCAUUGGCUUGUGGCCAAUGCAGUGCCGCAGGGAAGCCGUUAAGUUUGCCGCCUGGGAAGUACGUACGCAAGUAUGAAACUUAAAGGAAUUGGCGGGGGAGCACCACAAGGGGUGAAGCCUGCGGUUCAAUUGGAGUCACG
rnacentral:rRNA from 1 species